rnacentral:rRNA from 2 species
GUGGGGCAGAUGAUUGGGGUGAAGUCGUAACAAGGUAUCCCUACCGGAAGGUGGGGAUGGAUCACCUCCUUU